AGUUUGACACUCUGGUCUUUGUGUUAAGGUAAGUUUGGGGAGUUGAGCGUCUAAAUCUUCUGUAUGACCAAUCCCUAGCUGACUACGCUACAUGUGACGCCGCUGCUGUUUUUCUUGGCUACUUUGCUUAGGGAUAUUUUUCUGGGCAGGUUUGCUUAUGGGCAUUCUUUUGGGCUGGUUCGCAUACGGGCUUUGCUUUUGAUGUGUUGCAUGACUGCAUGCUUGGGCUGUUUGUUUACGUGCCUUGCCUCCUAUGUUGCAUAUCAGCAUUACUUUGUUGCUUGUGAGACAGUGAGUCUUGUUGUGGGACAGGGGAGGCUAGCUGACUUCAUUGGGUGGUGGGUUUGGAUGACCUCCCGAGCUGCAGCUGGCCUGUCUUGUUCCUGCCAAGCCUGGGCCUGGAGAAGUGCUAGUUUUAGCGUUCUUAUUGGGCUUCAUGGGAGAGUGACCUUAUAUUUAUAUGCUAAGUUUUAAU
ensembl:lncRNA